AACUAACGCUGGCGGCAUGCCUAACACAUGCAAGUCGAACGAGAUCUUCGGGUCUAGUGGCGCACGGGUGCGUAACGCGUGGGAAUCUGCCCUUUGGUUCGGAAUAACAGUUGGAAACGACUGCUAAUACCGGAUGAUGACGAAAGUCCAAAGAUUUAUCGCCAGAGGAUGAGCCCGCGUAGGAUUAGCUAGUUGGUGUGGUAAAGGCGCACCAAGGCGACGAUCCUUAGCUGGUCUGAGAGGAUGAUCUGCCACACUGGGACUGAGACACGGCCCAGACUCCUACGGGAGGCAGCAGUGGGGAAUAUUGGACAAUGGGCGAAAGCCUGAUCCAGCAAUGCCGCGUGAGUGAUGAAGGCCUUAGGGUUGUAAAGCUCUUUUACCCGGGAUGAUAAUGACAGUACCGGGAGAAUAAGCUCCGGCUAACUCCGUGCCAGCAGCCGCGGUAA
rnacentral:rRNA from 1 species